GUGCUGCUUUGAACAACCUCAAAGUGUCUCUGUCUGAAAAGUAAACUAAUUGACUUUCACAACCUGUCAGAAACGGGCUUCAACUAGUUCAACAGCAGCCAGUGGGGUUUGUCUCCCUGUCAGAAUGAGGUUUGUUGCUGAGCAAAGCUUGAGGUGACAGUCGGAGGAACACACAUCAACAGAGCUUUGCGUUGGGCGGCUGCCAAGGCCAUCCACUGAGAUAUUCACACGGCUGAGGUGCCCAGCAUCUGUGGGAACUCCUUCAAGACUGUUAGAAAGCAUUCCAGGUGAAGCUGGUUGAGAGAAUGGCAAGAGCGUGCAAAGCUGUCAAGGCAAAGGAAUAGUGCCCGGUUAAGGAAGGAUGCAGCUGCAGGGAGUCUCUUGUACAUUCCAAGAAGAUCAUGCCUACUUCACAGUACUUUCCAGAGAACAAACGGAGGAUUGGCUAAUUCAACAAUAAUACCGGUUUCCCUUUGCCCUGUUUCAACCUGCCUAAUCUGUCUAUUUACCGACAAUGACAGAUAAAGGGUGCACACACUGCCCAACUUUUUGAAUUCUCCUCUCGAUUCCUCUUUUUUACAACUUUGGCACAGUGUGAGAUACCAAAUUCAUGUAUGAACUUGGAAACUGUGUACUGUCCCAGCAAACAUGACCCUAUUGACCCCAUGUGGGUAUUCGGUGGGCAAGGCAUAGCCCACACCAAGCCCACGCCUGCCCAACACAGACUAGCCCACAGAAAUCCCACAUAACGCCAACACGGGCUAGCCUGCAAGCCCAGCUCCAGAUCGCCCACACCAAGCCCAGCUAGAGGCAGGGCCUCAUUAUAAUAUUUGGAGGCGUGGUUUGUACACAUUACUUUUGUGCAACCAUUACUGUGUGUCAUUCCAGUUUAAGUUCUCUGUUGUGCGAUGCCCAAUUUUUCUGUACAAUGCCAAUGAUGAAGUCUUUAAAAGGUGUGUGUGAAAUUUCUAUAAACUAGUGUACCUGUGAGGAUUUUCUACACUGGACAACUUGUUACAGCUGUAAUAAUGCCAAAGUCAUUAUUAAGAUAUA